rnacentral:rRNA from 1 species
AUUGAACGCUGGCGGCAGGCCUAACACAUGCAAGUCGAGCGGAUGAAGGGAGCUUGCUCCUGGAUUCAGCGGCGGACGGGUGAGUAAUGCCUAGGAAUCUGCCUGGUAGUGGGGGAUAACGUCCGGAAACGGGCGCUAAUACCGCAUACGUCCUGAGGGAGAAAGUGGGGGAUCUUCGGACCUCACGCUAUCAGAUGAGCCUAGGUCGGAUUAGCUAGUUGGUGGGGUAAAGGCCUACCAAGGCGACGAUCCGUAACUGGUCUGAGAGGAUGAUCAGUCACACUGGAACUGAGACACGGUCCAUACUCCUACGGGAGGCAGCAGUGGGGAAUAUUGGACAAUGGGCGAAAGCCUGAUCCAGCCAUGCCGCGUGUUUGAAGAAGGUCUUCGGAUUGUAAAGCACUUUAAGUUGGGAGGAAGGGCAGUAAGUUAAUACCUUGCUGUUUUGACGUUACCAACAGAAUAAGCACCGGCUAACUUCGUG